GACCAGCCAAGCUGCCCUCGCCGUGCCACCUCUGCUCCGCGACGUCGCCGUCUAGCUGCAGGAGGAGGAGCGGAGGCGUUGGAGCACUACACCUUGCGCUCCAGCAGCGUCUCCCACAAGUCCGGCUCUGCAAUAGUCACCAACGUCAUGCUAAUUCUGUCCUAACCUCCAUUUUCGUUACUCUCACAUGAUCCGAAUUAAUUUGCUUGUCCGUUCUUGCGGUAAUGGCCCUGUUUUCACUAGCAGCCGCUGGCUGGCGGACUCUCUGGCUGGCUUGGAUGUGUGUGUCUCUUUAUCCCUAGGCUUCAUUUUGUUGCUGUAUUGUUGUGAUUUGCACGGCGUACCAUUGGCCUGGGUGCUCACUCAAGGAUUUCCUAGGAUUCAGGUCAUUGGUUGCCGAUGUUAACGAUACUGCAGGAUUUGGAUCGAAAUAUCAAAAUGACGAAUUAGCGUUAGUUAUCAUUCGUGCGCUGCUACAGUAUAAUCAUUUUAGGAUGGUUGUUAUCCAUAUUCUGACGAGCUCUGGUAUAGUACAAAAUAAAUAUUGUACCCACAGCUUAUCUGCUCUAAAACUUGCCUAUGUUUAAGACCAUUGUUUUCAGCAACGAGUGUACUGAAGGUGUUCUGCCCCUGAUGUUUCAGUGGAUUUCUAACUGUUGCAGGAAAGGGGGAGGUGAACUGACGAAGAAGAAAGGGGUCUUCUUUUUCGCCCCUAUUGGAUCGGCGGCUGCCUGUGCGGUACUGGCAGUGGCCCUUGUGUUGUAGAGACCCGUCUGCUACCAUGGUUGCCACCGCACGACGGCAGGCGGAGCUGUGGCUCCCGCACCUACUUCGAGCUGGAAGGAGGGCUCGACUGGGCGGUGGUGCUGCAGCGCAGCUGGUUCUGUUGUUGCGCCCUCUGACCAUCACCGGCUAGCUGGCCGCCAUGCCGAAGCAUCGGAGAGCCAACCAGCAGGAGCGAUGGUGGCCGGCGCAGCGCCUGGGGUCCAUCCUCUCCGUUUCCUCCGAUAUUGCUCGCCGGGAACAACGACGGCCCCAAUGAAGGUUUCCCGGUGCAUAGGGGGACUCGGAUAUCGGCAAGGAUGAGGCCCAUGUUUGUGGGGAAUUUGAUCUUUCGGAGCUUGUACUGAUUACCAUUGGAACCUGGUAGCUUCUGAUUGGUUCAUAUUUGCUUGAGUGUUUGAGUUCAAAUAGCCUUUUAAAUAUAUUGUUUUGUCGUGGUGAUGAAAAUUCAGAAUUGGCCAUUGUUCUGUUGUCUAGAUCUACUUUGACAUCAUUCAAUAUUUCUGGCAAGUUUGUGAUGAUCGGCUAGCCUAGGUGAUGGAUCUAUCUUUGUUUGGGGUAGCUAAUUAAAACCUGAUGCAACCUGUGUGUCAUUUUGUUGAUUCACCAUGCGUGUAAAUAGUAGUACAUGAGCCACAAGGGUUGUAGUGUUGCAUAUGAUUCUGGACAUGAUUUGGCAUUGUUUCAAGUAUCAAUUUCUUGCUACAGCUAGUGUUAUUCAUCCCCGUGACAAGAUUGCUGCCUUCAACUUAUGCAUUUGUAAAGUUUGCAGUAGAGUUGUCAUGGUCUCCAAAUAUUUUAAAUUGAGCAGAAGUUGCACAGUUUGUUUAUUUUUUCCUGGUAAGAGUCGAUGGCAUUUUUGAAUCUGUCAUUCUGCUUAGAUCGUCAUGGUCUCCAAUUACUUUAAACCUGGGUGUUAGGAGUCUGCCCUAGUAUAAAGAAAUUCGAUCUUGCGCAACUUGUACUGAUUACCACUGGAUUCUGGUAGCUUCCGAUUGGUCCAUAUUGGCUUUGACUGUUUGAGUUCAAAGAGCCUACUAAAUUUAUUUAUUUUUGGCAGUGCCAUGAAUUUUCAGAACUUGGCAUUGUUCUGUUGUCUAGAUAUACUUCUGCUGAUGUGUUGGUGGGUUUGCUGACAGAAAUGUGCUGUGAUUUCUCAUCUAGUUGGGUACUGGCAUAUGUAAUCUGAUAAGUAAUUUCCGUGUUCCAUAGUGUAGCUUUUUGUACAUUAUUCAUGUUUCUAUCAUACUUGAACUGAUGGGUACACUAUCAUUGCCUUGACCCUUUCUUUUCUGAAGUUAACGAUAUCAUUGCCUUGUCCCUUUCUUUUCUGAAGUUAACGGAUAUGUGUAGUAGGUAAAGUAGUGAUGUUGGGCUGUUGUUGGAGCUUUUUUUUUUUUGCACGGUAACUUCAGCUUGAUCGAUCGUAGUUGCAAUGAGCCCAAUCAUGACUGUAUGUGAAAAGGUGGGAACAUCCAUUUUGAAAUUUUGGGUGCUUUUCCAUGUUUAGAACUACACAAGCUGGCUGAGGUAGCCGGUUGGCUAGAUCCAUUUUGGCAACAUUCAAUUUUUCCUGUCAAGUUUGUGAUGAUCAGCUAGCCUAGGUAAUGGAUCUAUGUUUGUUUGGAGUAGCUCAUUAAAACUUGAUGCAACUUGUUUGUUAUUUUAUUGACUCACCAUGUUUGUAACUAGAAGUGCAUCAGCCACAAUUGUUGCAGUGUUGCCGAGGGAUGUCAUUUUUUAACCUGUCAUCCUGUUAUAUAACUUCAUGGUCUCCAAAUACUUUAAUACCUGGAAAUUCGAUCUUCCGCAGCUUGUAGUGACUACCAUUGGAUUCUGGUAGCUUCCGCUUGGUUCGUAUUGGCUUGAGUGUUUGAGGUGAAAUAGCCUUCUAAUUUUUUUUUGGCAGUGCCAUGAAAUUUCAUAACUUGGCAUUGUUCUGUUGUCUAGAUAUACUUCUGCUGAUGUGUUGGUGGGUUUGCUGACAGAAAUGUGCUGUGAUUUCUCAUCUAGUGGCAUGCUGGCAUGCCAUUUCUUGUACAGAGAUUGACUUAUCAAACAAUGUGGUUCGUUCAUGAGUAGGUUGUUUUAUUUGCUUGUUCCAACAACAUACUGAUGUGUGAUUCUUGGCAGGCCGAUGUAUGGAGCAGAUGAUGGGAAGGAGGUUGGCGGCGCCGGAUAUAACAUGCUGAUGGAUCUAGUUGUAUGGGGGACAGAAGUUGGCCCUCGAAAGCAAUGGAGAGGCUGCUAGCUCGCUGGGUGAGUAGCAGCGAGUUUUUGUGGUGUGUGCUCCAAGCAAGAUACACUCGUGUCUCGGAUAAUAAUAUAUUAUCAGUUUAGUUUAUUUUGCUGCUCUAUAUAUAUUGAGUUGACUAGCAGUAUUGUAACAUUUUCUUUGUAAAUUGUAAUCUUUAUUGGUUAAUUGGUUGAUGGCUUCCAUUUGUGUUUGAUGCAUGAGAC